CUGGGCCGGCGGGACUUUGACGCUGGCGGCACUUUGCCUUUCUCCCGCCCUCCCCACCCGGCUGAUACCCCGGAGGCUGGGUCCCGGGGGUCCGGCUCCCGACAGAGGGCUGCGCUGGAGGAGCCGGGCACGCCCAGGCCGGGCGGCCGGUGGGCGAGGGAUGCGGGCUGCGCUCCCACGGCGCGCGCCGGACACUUGGGGAGCGGAAACGGAUCAGCGAGAGCGGCUUCUUGCUCGGGGCACCUCCGGUGCCUGGCACUAAGCGGGCGCGCAAUAAAUAUUUGUUGAAUGAAUGAGCAGUUGACUUCUGCCUUCACCCCCUGGAGCUUGAACCCGCGCCGCGAGCGGGAGAAGCCGGACUCAGGGCAGACUGAAUCUCCCGGGGCCACCGCUUAGAGCCUGGAAAGCAGAACUUUUAUCACCGGAGAGCUGGUGCAAGGGAGGUGGGCUCCUCAGAAGUAUCAGACCGUUUGCUAGGGGAUCCUCUGCAGGGAAAUUGUUUAGAAAGCCCUAAUUUGGAAGUCCUGUAUCCCCAAACUCCGGGGACCCCCCAACCUUAAGCUGAAGAAACUUAGACCCUCAUGCCCAGACCUCCCUUUCCCAACCAGCCAGCAGCCCAGAGAGCAUUCCCGUGGAGAAAGGGCCAAGGCGCAUCCCCGUCUUUUCUCCGUCAACGACUGCCUUUUCUUGACGAAGAUCCCAAAGGGGCUGCGCAUUUGAACCGCCUUGGGCUCCAGGUGGCGCCCUCUCUGGAGCUCCCCUCUUGGAAUUCAUUUCUUCCUGGAGAGACUUGGAGAAUGAAGAUCCAGGGGUUUCUCCCUACCUUGUACCGAGAAGUAACAUUGCAAGUAGAGUAAAUGACCAGCUUAAUUACGUUCACCUUCGAAGAAGAUUCCUCUAGAGAGAAAUUAUAUCCUCCUUGCAGCCUGUGAAGGUUUUCAUGCGUUUUAGGAAUAUAAAAGAAAGGAAGACAAACAUGUAGUAAAGAUAGUAAAGACAGGACCCACUUCUUCACGCCUUCCUCAGCAACUUCUCCAUGUGGCCCCUUAGGAGCUAAA
rnacentral:lncRNA from 1 species